CCUACGGGUGACAGCAGUGGGGAAUAUUGGACAAUGGGGGGAACCCUGAUCCAGCGACGCCGCGUGAGUGAAGCAGUAUUUCGGUAUGUAAAGCUCUAUCAGCAGGGAAGAAAGAAAUGACGGUACCUGACUAAGAAGCCCCGGCUAACUACGUGCCAGCAGCCGCGGUAAUACGUAGGGGGCAAGCGUUAUCCGGAUUUACUGGGUGUAAAGGGAGCGUAGACGGCAAUGCAAGUCUGAAGUGAAAGGCGGGGGCCCAACCCCCGGACUGCUUUGGAAACGGUAUGGCUGGAGUGAAGGAGAGGUAAGUGGAAUUCCUAGUGUAGCGGUGAAAUGCGUAGAUAUUAGGAGGAACACCAGUGGCGAAGGCGGCUUACUGGACUGUAACUGACGUUGAGGCUCGAAAGCGUGGGGAGCAAACAGGAUUAGAUACCCCAGUAGUC
rnacentral:rRNA from 1 species